UUCAUUUUCACACAAAAUGGAUGCAAGUUCUCCAAAACAAACACACCACCUCCAAGCACACGCUGACACAGGGCACAGCAAGAAACCAAGAACACAAACUGUGUCCUCUGCACUGAGUGAAGGAAAGGUGUCAUGGCAAAACAGCUCAUCUGUAUUAAAUGUGAACCUGAUGCAGAUUCAUGGCGAUACCAGGAGCUUCAGAUGAGCAUUUAUCACCACCAGGACAAUGACCAGCUGUUGUUCAGCUCCCACUGCCAUGGUGAAGAUUGUUUCACUGCUGGAAUAAACAACACAUGCACAGUUUAGCAUCCUAACUGGAAAAUUCUCAGAACUUAAAGAAAGCACAGCUUAUGGACAGCAUGUCAUAUUACAAGCACACAAAUCCUGCCCUCAGUGACUGGCAACACUUUCCUUUCCAGAGGCUGAGCAGAUGCUUUUGAACAGCAAGAAACAGUUUUGGUCAUAUUGAAUUCUCCUUGUGUUCUCCUUCAACACAUACCCACUAUGUCUUCAAAUACAAUUCAGCCAAUAAA